rnacentral:rRNA from 1 species
AUGGCGGUUCCACAUGUGAGCGGCGCAGCCAUCCUAUUGAAGAGCGUACAUCAGAGCUGGAGUCCAGCCGCAAUCAAGUCUGCGCUCAUGACAACGGCCGACAUCGUCGACAACUCUGGGAAUGGAAUCCAGGACGAGCAGUUAGAUGCCGCCAAGGCGUACAAAUUGGGAGCUGGGCACAUCAACGUGUCCAUGGCAAUGGACCCUGGGCUCGUGUACGAGCUCAACGAGGGGCAAUACGCUGCCCACGUCUGCUCCACCCUCGGCGAGGCCGCACUGCACGCCAUUUCGCGCAAUGACUCGUGGAGAUGCUCUGAGCUGCCCACCGUGCACCUGUCCAACCUCAACUACCCGAGCAUCACGGUCGCGCUGCAGCCGACGGGGUUCACCGUGGAAGAACGUCACACCUUUCCCCGAGCCGAGCCGGAGACGUACACAGCCAAGGUGGUAAUGCCCCCGGAGGUGCGUGUGGCCGUCGACCCAAGCACCCUCAUGUUCACAUAUACAGGGGAGGAGGCCUCGUACCAGAUCUGGGUGAGCAGCAGCAGCAACUCUCCGGUCCAAGGAGCCGUUUACCAGGGCACCAUCGAGUGGUCUUCCAGCGAUCACAUGGUCAGAAGCCCCAUGAUCGCCGUCGUCGGCCUGGCCAUCUCUCAGCCGUCCACGGCGUGGAAGCUGGACUGA